ensembl:lncRNA
CACACACACAUUUCUUGACAAAUGACUCUCCACUCGUGUCCUCUCCAGUGCCUCUGCAGAGUGCAGACUGCAGACCGAGUGUGUUCUGGGUAGAAAUGUGUGUGUGUUUGGGCCGGCAGCUCAGGAGGUCCUGUAAACACAGCCUGAAGCGCUUCAUUUGAUUUCUAGCAAAUCAGGGAGGGACACAAUCUCCUAACCCAACACAUGGAAAUGAAGACCUGGGGAUAAGCUCAGUUCAUCCACCUGUUUAUCCUGCUACCCCCUACUGCCCCGGAGAUUCACCUGAGCAGAGGGCCUGGGAACAGCAGCCCUGCAGUACCUGUGAGUGACAGAUCAUCGCUCUGGGCAACCACCCUGCCUCCAGGUGAAGUCUAGGCAUCUCAUGUUCCCCCCUCCCCUGUCCUUCCCCCUCUCGUCUCUCCUCCAGGCUUGCUCAUCCACCUGCUGUACUGCCCCUCACCCCCUACUCUGUGGAACAAUGGCAGGCAGGGCUACAGCUACCUCCGGGGGCAGUGAGACUUACACUCUCUCUCCUGCCUGGGAAAGGAAAUACUCCUGUAACACUAACCUCCUACCCGAGGACAACACUGCCACUCACAGCCAUCUCAACUGCCCCCCUGUUUCCGUGACAACAGGCCCGGCUCUCCUCUCUCAGCAUCAGGCAGCACCUAACAGGAGAAAGUGAGAGAAAGCGAGAGAACAAGAGAGCCAUACUAACCCUACCGUUUAAAUUCAAAGGCACAAAAAAAGAACCCAAAAUGUGUAAAUUGAAACGGCUGCUCUGUAAAGCCAUUCAUUUCCUGCGGUAUUUGAGUAAAUAUUAUGAAUAUACUAUUCAACAUUGUGCACACAAUCCAUCAUGAUUUGCAGAGGCCAAGUUUGAGCUCACUUUUACUCACACUGUCAUAAUUAGUUGGUGCAGCUUUUUUCCCCUGUCAUGCAGCUGGCUGAGUAAAGAAAUACAUUGCCUCAUUCCAGGACGCACAGCCACAGUUCCUCUAGCUUCUUUGGCCAGAGGCAGCACGCCAACAGGCUACACGAACACCUCUACAGCAAGGCAGGUGGAAUAGUCUGGGCUUAGUUCAUACACUUAGAAAGGUGUCAGGGUCACAACCUUUAACUCCGCAGGUGUGUGACAGCUACCACUGUUCAGCUGUGUUAUUUACCCAAUCGCCAGAGACAGCCGGGGGGGGGGGUCAUGAUCCUAAACAUCAGAUGUGAUCUAAUCACAGCAGACAGAUAGUAUAUCAGGCAUUUACUCUGGGGACUGAGAUACUGCUAGGUAUUUACUCUGGGAACUGAUAUACUGCCAGGUAUUUACCCUGGGGACUGAGGUACUGCCAGGUAUUUACUCUGGGAACUGAGAUACUGCUAGAUAUUUACCCUGGGGACUGAGAUAAUACCAGGUAUUUAUUCUGGGAACUGAGAUACUACCAGGUAUUUACUCUGGGAACUGAGAUACUGCCAGGUAUUUACUCUGGGAACUGAGAUACUGCCAGGUAUUUACUUUCGGCACUGAGCAAAUUUCAGGUCUGCUGAGCGCAAACUUGAACCUUGUGAAAAUGCAGUGCAACUUCCAGCGUGCAUUUAAUGUGAACACUGAGGAUGAACCUACUGGCUAUUUGAUCAUAAUGUAGGCCUAUCAGAGUGGCCUACCAUCAAAAACAAUGGAGAAAAUGCAUCCCAUAACAUUCUAACAUGGAAAUAGCUAUUCUAUCAUUCAGCCUACAGUAGCAGCCAACGUGUGGAGUUCAAUGUAGGCCUACACUCCAUGAGACUUUUGAAACAUGCAGGACUUGACAUUAACCUGUUUAUCCACUUGUCCUUCAGACAAGGAAGUGACUGAAAAUGUUGUUGUUUGAUGCAAGAAACCAC